AUUGAACGCUGGCGGCAGGCCUAACACAUGCAAGUCGAACGGUAACAGGAAGAAGCUUGCUUCUUUGCUGACGAGUGGCGGACGGGCGAGUAAUGUCUGGGAAACUGCCUGAUGGAGGGGGAUAACUACUGGAAACGGUAGCUAAUACCGCAUAACGUCGCAAGACCAAAGAGGGGGACCUUCGGGCCUCUUGCCAUCGGAUGUGCCCAGAUGGGAUUAGCUAGUAGGUGGGGUAACGGCUCACCUAGGCGACGAUCCCUAGCUGGUCUGAGAGGAUGACCAGCCACACUGGAACUGAGACACGGUCCAGACUCCUACGGGAGGCAGCAGUGGGGAAUAUUGCACAAUGGGCGCAAGCCUGAUGCAGCCAUGCCGCGUGUAUGAAGAAGGCCUUCGGGUUGUAAAGUACUUUCAGCGGGGAGGAAGGGAGUAAAGUUAAUACCUUUGCUCAUUGACGUUACCCGCAGAAGAAGCACCGGCUAACUCCGUGCCAGCAGCCGCCGUAA
rnacentral:rRNA from 1 species